AACGCCGCGUGAAGGAAGAAGGCUUUACGGGUUGUAAACUUCUUUUAAGAGGGAAGAGUAGAAGACGGUACCUCUUGAAUAAGCCACGGCUAACUACGUGCC
rnacentral:rRNA from 1 species